rnacentral:rRNA from 1 species
UACGAAGGGUGCAAGCGUUACUCGGAAUUACUGGGCGUAAAGCGUGCGUAGGUGGUUUGUUAAGUCUGAUGUGAAAGCCCUGGCUCAACCUGGGAACUGCAUUUGUGACUGUAGAGCUGGAGUGCGGCAGAGGGGAUGGAAUUCCGCGUGUAGCAGUGAAAUGCGUAGAUAUGCGGAGGAACACCGAUGGCGAAGGCAAUCCCCUGGGCCUGCACUGACGCUCAUGCACGAAAGCGUGGGGAGCAAACAGG